CGGGGUAUAGCUGAGUGAUAGAGCAUUCAACUGCAGAUCGAGAGGUCUCCGGUUCAAACGCGGGUGCCCCUU